UACGUAGGUGGCAAGCGUUGUCCGGAAUUACUGGGCGUAAAGGGCGUGUAGGCGGCCUUUUAAGUCAGACGUGAAAUCUCUGGGCUUAACCCAGAAAUUGCGUUUGAAACUGGAGGGCUUGAGGAUCGGAGAGGGUAGUGGAAUUCCCAGUGUAGCGGUGAAAUGCGUAGAUAUUGGGAGGAACACCAGUGGCGAAGGCGACUGCCUGGACGACACCUGACGCUGAGGCGCGAAAGCCAGGGGAGCAAACGGG
rnacentral:rRNA from 1 species